UCGAACAGUGCUGGUUGGCCAAUCAGCUGGUACCUCUGCUUAUUGAGAAACAGUGGCUCUUUUGGGAUUGUCUCGAAAGGAAGUAUGAGAAUGCUGCUGGAAACUUUUGCGAAAUCAACCAUGCCUCACUGUUUAGGCCUUAGAAAACUGGAUACCUGUAAUGUUUACCGUUUUGUUCUUUUGCUAAAUGCCCUUGUGCUACACCCGUGUACCAACAGAAAGAAGUGAGCCGCCGAUGUCUCGGUGAUAAGCUGUCGUUUCUGUGCCGACGUGCUCCAUAUGUUUCCUGUCCACGCCUCUACCUCGCUUGCUCCUAGACGGUGGGAACAGAUGCGAAGCCGGGGCACCUCGCCACCGGAAUGAAGAAACGGGAGAUGACGUGACAAGGCGCGGCAUGACGGCUGCGCCACAAGAGGGCUAAUCCAAAACACACAGACUUUCUCUCCAUGUGACCUCCACCAGGCAUACCCACCGUGGGGUUUUAAUUGACUACUGACGUAACCCCCAGGCAGUUAACGUUUAUACAACGUUUGAGAGUUAGACACAAUCCAUGACAUCCGAGUCACUUCUCGAGACAAAUAGACGUGGAAUUAAAAUAAAUAAAAUGUUUGUUCUCAAAGAGAACGUGAGAAGGUGACUCCUGAGGUCAUCUAGUAUUUCUAUGUCAGUGGACGUCCAGUCCUGUCAGAAUCUUUCAGAGUGAGCAUGUUUGUCUGAGAGAGACCCUGACCUCCCUUUGCGCCGAACAUGGCAUAAACGAGGGCUAUAUGUGUGGGUGAGUGUCAGCUUAACUGCUCAGCUUGUCAUGUCUGUCAUGCCUGGUGAUAGGGCAAGUCCAGUGCCUAGUUGGACCUGAACAGUUGGAGGUUUAUUUUCAGGCUGACAUUUUCUUGCAUCAUUCAUAUUUCUCAGUGUCACGUAGUUCACGCUGGUAUCCUGUCAAUCUGUAUACAUUUUUGUGUGAAUUUCUAUCGAUAUUUGACUAGUUUGUACUCAUUUUAAAGGCUAUCCAAGUAGCUUGUAUAAACCUGAACAAUGCCUGAACAAUGCUUCAUCACUUACAGGCCAAAGAAAUAGAUUUUAGAGAUGCUGAGAGAAUUUCUGUUGAAUUUACAUUAAUUAUAAAACUCUGCGUUUAACACACAUGCUAAAAAUAAUUAUGCCGUGCAUUGUUACAUCGUGUAGAGAAAGUAUAAGAUCUUAAUAGCUCUCAGCAAAUUGCUACAAGUUCUUCCUUUAUUAUCCAUAAUGGAGUUUUAAUGACAUGAAUGGUUGGACUAAAGGAGACCAGGAUUAAAUACACACCUGAGGUACAUUGAGCGUCUGUUACAAUAAUGUAUGCCAUAAUAGAUGUUUUAGCUUCCUAUCGAAGAUGCAUUCAUUCAUUUUUAAGAGCCAGUAACACAUAAUUGGUCAUGCUAGUUAUGUUAGUGGACCACAGUCAAAUUAUACCAUUGUUUAGUUGAACAAUAGGAUGGGGCGGCAGGUAGCCUAGUGGUUAAAGCGUUGGGCCAGUAACCGAAAGGUUGCUGGAUUGAAUCCACGAGCUGACGUAGUAAAAAUCUAUCGUUCUGCCCCUGAACAUGUAGGCCAUAUUGUAAAUAAGAAUUCAUUCUUAACUGACUUGUCUUUCUCCUGCAAAGAAAAAAGUGGUCUACCUUAACCAUUAUAACAUAGAAACACCAGUCAUUACCUUUGAAGUUCCCAGUGUGGUCCACCUUACAUCAAACCAGCCAGGA
rnacentral:lncRNA from 8 species